CAAGAUGUUUAGCUGCAUCUCCAUCCUCUACCCACUAGACACCAGAUGCAUUCCAGCCGUCCACCAACAAUGUCUCCCAAAAUGCCCAAUUUCUCCAGUUGAGAACCAAUUACUGACACGACCUAAAAGCCUGUUAUCAAGUAUUUUUGCAACAACACAGUGAUCUUUAGUGUUUGAUAUUUUCUUUCUUGAUAAAGAAAUAAGUCUGCCAAACAAAUGGGGAGUUCAUAUUUCAACUUUUCACAUAUGCUUCCUAAAAUUGGAAUUUUUGGCUUUAGUCUUGGGUAUAGGUAGUUAAUCAUGGACUAUGGAAAUAGGUCUGUUCCCAAAGUAAUAAGAAGAGAUAUACAUCCUUGAAGACAGUGUAAAAAUUUCUUUAGGUAACACAAUAAAUUACACACACAAUUGGACAAGCAUUUAUUAAAUGCCUACUGUGUGCUCAGCACCAUAUUAGGCAAUAGGGGUGCAGAGAUACAAAUGUAACAUUACUAUUCCUGCCCUCAAGGAGCUUACAAUUUAAUUUUGGAAAUAAAUACAAAUGUGAAACUACAAUACAGAGUGCUGGAAAAUGAUUACAAACCUACAUAUUAUUAGUAAGUGCAUGGGCCACAGUAUAAACUGAAAAGAUCAGUGCUGAGGCAGCACAGAAUAGGGAGUCUUAGUGUGGGUGAAGUUAGUCAGGGAGGGCUUACUCAGAAGAUAUAAAGGAAACCAGACUUUGAAGGGGGUUAUGAACAUGAGCUGGGGCCAAAGAGCAAUCUAAGGAAAAGGAACAGCAUCAGAAAGGCACAGAGGCACGGUCAAGGGCCUGUAAGACAACAGUGAAGGUCACAGAAAGUGUGACUGUGAUGCUGUAAGGGGACAUGUUGGAGAAGGAGGCUGCUACACACAGAGCAUAGAAGGCAGGUAAUGGAGAACUUGGAACAUCACUGCUUUGAUGAGAAUUAUGUGCUGGGUGUUCUUGAGUGAAAAUAAGACAAUGAAAAUGGAGUUUGAGAAAGAUCAUCUUGGAUGCCUACAAGAUGCAGAUUUUAAAGAGCAGGGACGCUAGAAAGAAAGAAUUGCAAUAAACUGGGCCCCAGAUAAUACAGAUCUGAAAAAACUCCUAUGAGAAAAUGUCAGAAAUGGAAGGUUUUACACAUUUUAUGCUGUAGAUGAACUUGUUACUGUCACCAUAAAUGUCCAUCUGUAAUCGUGCAGCCUCAGGAGAAAAGUUAGAAUUGGAACAACUUAGCACAAUUUUGGACACGUAGAAUGGAGACCAGAACAAGACACCUACAAGACUGUGAUAAGAAACAUAGCCCUAGCCGGUUUGGAUCAGUGAAUAGAGCGUCAGCCCACAGAUUGAGGGCUGCUGGGUUUGAUUCCGGUCAAGGGCACAUGCCUUGGUUGCAGGCUCAAUCCUCGGGAUUCAUGUGGGAGGCGACCAAUUGAUCUGUUUCUUUCACACUGAUGUUUUUCUCUCUCUGUCUCUCCUCCUCCCUGACACACUAUAAAAAUCAAUGGAAAAAUAUCCUUACGUGAGGAUUAAUAGAAAAAAAGAAAACAAAGGAUAGUGAGUCUAAUCAGGAUAACGAAAUUAAGUAAUGGUGCCUAUAUAAAAGGAAAAUGAGAAAAGCUAGAAAUUGGAGAAAAAUGACCAAAAAGUGUCCCACAAGCCAAAGGAGAAGAGAAUUUCUGAGAUACAAGGUAAGUUCCACAGUACAGUA